AGUUGCGGUGGCGCGCUCGUGGCGGGGACGCCGGCACCCGGCUGCUCACCCGGGACGGCCGUCACACCGGCACUACGGGAAGAAGCCGGCCGGCUAGGGCACGGAGCUCUGGGCUUGCGGGGUGCGGCGCACGCCCCUCCCUCCCACCGCCUAAGGUUUUUCCGAAGCUGCUGGGCGUGCGCCGCGUUUCUGAGGCGGGAGGAGACACUUCCGAGCCAGCUGUGUGACAUCCGUUUACACAGCCGCGCUGACGUCUCGAGGUACAUCACGACAUUGCCCCAGAGAGGAACCCAGGAUUCUCACACCAUGACACCAUCCCCAUCUGUUUCUCCAGCCACAUUUGGACAUGGAUCUGGCAGCCUAAGACCAGUUUGUAUGCUGCGAAAUCAAUGAGAAGAGAAUUGUGUUGGCAAGAAAUGUGCCUGGUGAAUGAAUGAAAGAAAGAAAGAAAAAAAGAAAGAAAGAAGGAAAGAAAGAAAGAAAGAAAGAAAGAAAGAAAGAAAGAAAGAAAGAAAGA
rnacentral:lncRNA from 1 species